rnacentral:tRNA from 1 species
UGAGGUCUUGGCUCAGUGGUAGAGUGCUCCCCUAAAAUGAAUGAGACACUGGGUUCUAUCCUCAGCACCCCAC